rnacentral:rRNA from 1 species
UACGUAGGGGGCAAGCGUUGUCCGGAUUUAUUGGGCGUAAAGAGCGUGUAGGCGGCUUGGUAGGUCCGCUGUGAAAACUCGAGGCUCAACCUCGAGAUGUCGGCGGAAACCACUUGGCUAGAGUCCGGAAGAGGAGAGUGGAACUCCGAGUGUAGAGGUGAAAUUCGUAGAUAUUCGGAAGAACACCAGUGGCGAAGGCGGCUCACUGGUCCGGUACUGACGCUGAGGUGCGAAAGCGUGGGGAACAAACAGG